CCUACGGGCGGCAGCAGUGGGGAAUAUUGGGCAAUGGGCGCAAGCCUGACCCAGCAACGCCGCGUGAAGGAAGAAGGCUUUCGGGUUGUAAACUUCUUUUAAGAGGGAAGAGCAGAAGACGGUACCUCUUGAAUAAGCCACGGCUAACUACGUGCCAGCAGCCGCGGUAAUACGUAGGUGGCAAGCGUUGUCAGGAUUUACUGGGUGUAAAGGGCGUGUAGCCGGGCUGACAAGUCAGAUGUGAAAUUCGGGGGCUCAACCCCCGAACUGCAGUUGAAACUGUUGGUCUUGAGGAUCGGAGAGGCGGGCGGAAGUCCUGGUGUAGCGGUGAAAUGCGUAGAUAUUAGGAAGAACACCAGUGGCGAAGGCGGCCUGCUGGACGACAACUGACGGUGAGGCGCGAAAGCGUGGGGAGCAAACAGGAUUAGAUACCCCGGUAGUC
rnacentral:rRNA from 1 species